UUACAAAGCAACUGGAUGGCCACAGUCAAAGCAACACAUUGUCUGUGUUGAGAAUAAGAAUGAUAACCUGACAACCACAUGAGUGGGCGGAGAGCAUGGAGAACACAACCAUGGCGAUAGGAUCACGUUGGGAGGCUCACCAUCAAUAAGAAAGGAUCUCCAACUACUAGUUAAAACCAUCAAUCAUGUUAAGCUGGAGGCGGGACUUGAUCACACCAUCAAUUCCGAGACGCUGACCUCUCACUACCAGUUGAAAUAAGAAUAAUCCUUGAUGUCAAUUUUAAUACUUUAUUGUUCCUGGGUUACAGCUGUUUGACAGGGAAGGAUUUCAGUCAAUAUUUACAUUCACUCUAAAAGGGUAACAGCUGAGAAGUAGAAUUCUCACUUCCUUUACUAUUAACCAGUUCUGAGCAAAAACAAAAUCUUGAAACAAGUAUUUUGUGCCAUGACUCCUUUGUACAGAAACAAUGUCAUAGUAACUCUAGAUAAUCAGUGUUCAUUUGGAAACCAGGUAACAGUCUGCAAGUCUAUUUCAAAAGCUUUUUCCUAAAGAAAUGUAACGGACAAUAAGUUGAAAAAGUUAAAUUGAAUAAAACACAUCACAAGAUCACUCAGCCUAAAGACCGACUUUGAAAUAGCUUGAAUACUUGCACAAUACAAUACAAAGUAUACAGCAGGAGGUAAAAGCAAUGUCUAUGAAAUAAAAUACAUUCUCACUUUUAGAAAAACAAAUGACCUCUAUCAUACAAAAAAGUAAAGUAUUGAAAGAGGUAGCUUGUUUCACUACAGCGCAGUUUGGUCA